GACGAACGCUGGCGGCGUGCUUAACACAUGCAAGUCGAACGGACGGGCCAUGCUCUUGUGGGUUGCUCGAGUGGCGAGCGGGGGUGUAACACACGAGUAACCCCUCCUUAUCAUUGUGGUAACUUCAGGGAACACGGGCGCAUACCGCAGAGGAGAUCCUGCACCGUGGUGUGGGUAGGAAAGAUUCGGCGGUUGUGGAUGGACUCGCGGCUUAUCAGCUUGUUGGGGGGGUAGUGGUUUACCAAGCCUUUGACGGGUAGGCGGCCUGAGAGGGUGACCGGCCACAUUGGGACUGAGAUACGGCCCAGACUGCUACGGGAGGCAGCAGUGGGGAAUAUUGCACAAUGGGCGGAAGCCUGAUGCAGCAACGCCGCGUGCGGGAUGACGGCCUUCGGGUUGUAAACCGCUUUCGCCUGUGACGAGGCGUGAGUGACGGUAAUGGGUAAAGAAGCACCGGCUAACUACGUG
rnacentral:rRNA from 1 species